CCACCCAUGCUACUGUCGCCUCCCAUGCUACUGUCACCCCCAUGCUACUGUCACCUCCCAUGUACUGUCACCUCCCCUGCUACUGUCACCUCCCAUGCUACUGUCACCUCCCAUGUUACUGUCACCUCCCAUGCUACUGUCACCUCCCUUCACCUCCCUGUACCUGUACCUCCCAUGUUACUGUUUCUCCCAUGCUACUGUCACCUCCCAAAUGUUACUGUCACCUUCCCAUGCUACUGUCAUCUCCACAGUGUAAAUCAAUUGUGCAUCCCCAAUGGCACCAUCUUCCCUUUUUAGUGUACUACUUUGACCAGUGCACUACAUAGGGAAACAGAACACACCCAGUGCUUUCAAUAAUUAGAUCCUACAUCAGACUGAUUUCAUCUUUUCAGCUCCACACCUCCACAUGGGUUGUUUACGUGUCCACCAUACAAUCCACCUGGAAACGAGCAGCCAUUGGAUU
rnacentral:lncRNA from 1 species